rnacentral:lncRNA from 1 species
AAAAAAAAAAAAGAAACACUCCAACACUCACACAACCUGUGAGAAUCGGCAAGAGUUAUUUAUUGCCGGGACAUCUUGCAGGUAAGCCUGCAGGAUGUCCGUGGUGUUUGGUGGCUCCAAGAUAAUGCUUGCGAUGGAGCCUGAGCAACAAGUAGGGGGCUCGCCGGGUACUCCUGUGGUGCUGUUGGUGCUCUUGGAUGGCAGAGCACAAAGACAUGCCGCAGUAGCCCCAGCUCUGUUCUGGAAGAGGUGGAUCCACUUCCAUCUGUUCCUCCACAUCUGGUGAAUCCAGCUCCAUGGGCUCCACAGUGUUGGGCAGAAGUCUAAGCCAAUCCUUGCCUGGGACUGCCCAAACGGGAUGCCUUCCGUCUGGAAUGUUUUCAGACCAGGGUGCUGAACCAGGGGCUCGUCCAGUUCCACGCCUCAGUCCCAUGCCACUGUCGGCUUGAUUUUCAUGCAUGGGUCCAACGCUGCCCUCUGGUUUACUGCCAUUACUGGGUCCCACACUGUGCUCUGGACUAUGGGCACGCCUCUGCUCCCUGCGGCUGUCUGUCUGAUGCUCCCGGCUUCGCCCCACAUCACUGUUGCUCCUAUGCCAUUAUUCCUGGUUCCAUGGCUACACUCCCUGAAAGAGUCCCUCUCCAACUUUCUUCAAGGCUACUUUUAUAGGUAAGGUUAGGUGGCAAAAAUGUAGGACCUAGCAAAUUGCAACCUUAUCUACCUUGUUCCACACAUUCCACAUGAUGUUUUCCAGCUCAGGCUCUGGCCUCUGAUCAGUGUAACACAGAAUCAUUAAGGUUGGAAAAGACCUUCAAGAUCAUCUGGUCCAACCAUCACCCUACCACCCGCUAAACCAUGUCCCUACGCACCAGGUCCAACCUUUCCUUGAACACCCCCAGGGACAGUGAUGCCACCACUUCCCUGGGCAACCCGUUCCAACGCCUGACUGCUCUUUCUGAGAAGAAAUGUCUCCUACUUGUUUUAAUUGUUGCAGAGCAGUGCUUACACUGAGUCAAGUACUUUUCAGCUUCAGUGAGAAGGCUGGGGGUGCAGCAGGAGGUGGGAGGGGCAGAAGCAGGACAGCUGACCCCGACUGGCCUAAGGGAUAUUCUGUACCAUGCUGGACAAUUAAUGUGGGGUGGCUGACUGGGGGAUAGGAGGGGUACCGGCUGCUCAGGGAUAGGCUGGGCAUAUGCCUCUUUCUUCAUUUUCUACAUGACAACCACAGGCUCACCAAUUCUUCUCUGGCAGUUCUUCACUCUUCCUUCUAAUUGGGUUCUGCUGUGCCAUGCUCACACGUCACUUUGACAGCUCUGCACGUGGUGUUUUCCCAUGCUGCACCUUAAUCCAGGGCAUGGCACUGCAUCUGCCAGCUGUGGGAAUGGCAAAAGCAGUGAUUCACUAGCACCUAACAUAAUCACUCUUGGGCCAGAACUAGGAAGCUGCUGGGUAAUUAUCAUGAGUUAAGGAACAAUUUCUGUAAUAGCAACUGCUACUGUAACUGGACUUCCUUAGUACCCUGUCUCAGGCUAAGGGCUAAACAGCUGUUGGACAAAGGAAAAAACUUUCAUUUCUAGUUUAGUUUAGUUAUAUGGGAGGUUACAGCAUAUCCAUCUAAGAAAACAAUUUAACAAAGCUAGUCCUUUUUUUUUUUUUUUUUUUUUUUGACAGAG